UGCAGUCGAACGCUUCUUUUUCCACCGGAGCUUGCUCCACCGGAAAAAGAGGAGUGGCGAACGGGUGAGUAACACGUGGGUAACCUGCCCAUCAGAAGGGGAUAACACUUGGAAACAGGUGCUAAUACCGUAUAACAAUCAAAACCGCAUGGUUUUGAUUUGAAAGGCGCUUUCGGGUGUCGCUGAUGGAUGGACCCGCGGUGCAUUAGCUAGUUGGUGAGGUAACGGCUCACCAAGGCCACGAUGCAUAGCCGACCUGAGAGGGUGAUCGGCCACAUUGGGACUGAGACACGGCCCAAACUCCUACGGGAGGCAGCAGUAGGGAAUCUUCGGCAAUGGACGAAAGUCUGACCGAGCAACGCCGCGUGAGUGAAGAAGGUUUUCGGAUCGUAAAACUCUGUUGUUAGAGAAGAACAAGGAUGAGAGUAACUGUUCAUCCCUUGACGGUAUCUAACCAGAAAGCCACGGCUAACUACGUGCCAGCAGCCGCGGUAAUACGUAGGUGGCAAGCGUUGUCCGGAUUUAUUGGGCGUAAAGCGAGCGCAGGCGGUUUCUUAAGUCUGAUGUGAAAGCCCCCGGCUCAACCGGGGAGGGUCAUUGGAAACUGGGAGACUUGAGUGCAGAAGAGGAGAGUGGAAUUCCAUGUGUAGCGGUGAAAUGCGUAGAUAUAUGGAGGAACACCAGUGGCGAAGGCGGCUCUCUGGUCUGUAACUGACGCUGAGGCUCGAAAGCGUGGGGAGCAAACAGGAUUAGAUACCCUGGUAGUCCACGCCGUAAACGAUGAGUGCUAAGUGUUGGAGGGUUUCCGCCCUUCAGUGCUGCAGCUAACGCAUUAAGCACUCCGCCUGGGGAGUACGACCGCAAGGUUGAAACUCAAAGGAAUUGACGGGGGCCCGCACAAGCGGUGGAGCAUGUGGUUUAAUUCGAAGCAACGCGAAGAACCUUACCAGGUCUUGACAUCCUUUGACCACUCUAGAGAUAGAGCUUCCC
rnacentral:rRNA from 1 species